rnacentral:tRNA from 1 species
UGUUGAUGGCUGAGGAUACAAGCGGUAGAUUGUAAAUCUAUAAACGGAGAACACCUCCUCAACAA